GGUGGUGGUGGUGGUGGUGGUGGUGGUGGUGGUGGUCACAGAUGGCCUUGGCACUAGCCGUAUGUUCGUGGCUGGCAAAGAAAUAUGAUGGAAUUAUGCAUUUAAACUCCGCAGUGAAGCGCAAGUGUUUUUCCUUUUCUCUCGCCGUUGUGUUUGCUAGCUUUGUUGGCGGCGACAUCUUUUGGUUUGUUUUUAUCGUUAAUCUUCUGCUGCUUCGCUCGCGGAUGAAGCACGACGCGUCUGAACGAUCGCGGAUGUUGAUGAUGAGUAAUUGUGCGUCGUGUGUGAUUAGACGGUGUUGUGGGUUUGGUUGGAGCGUGUGUUAUACCAGACAGAUAUUAUGGUUGACGAUUAACACAAAAUAAAAAUUUGGCUUUAAACUCAUAGAAAUGCUUUGUUUUGUACGUGAUUUAUGUGAUAUGUGUGAAUGAAUUGUACAUUUUGCUACCAUGCGCCUUUUAUUUCUGAAGAAAAUUUAAACCAUCAAAUAGAGACGUAUGCCAAGAAUGCAGCAAGUUUAAAUUUGGUUCAAGAGACAGAACUUCCGUGUGGCUGGUAAAGAAUGCCCCGGUCUCGCCAUCCACGUCUAAGUCGAACAAUCAGCAAAGAUCAGUGGUUGAAGGUGCUUGAAAGUCCAAGAAGAGAGAGAGUGAAAAAAAAACAUUCUAGACUUGCUAAUCAAAAGCUUUAUUAUUUAUUUCCG